GCAUUAAUGGGGUAACGGUAACCCAGGUCAUACAAUUCUGUGUUCCAAAAUCUGUUGACCAGCAAGGGGUUCAAAUCUCCUUUAAUGCA